rnacentral:rRNA from 1 species
GAACGGGUGAGUAACACGUGAGUAACCUGCCCUUGACUCUGGGAUAAGCCUGGGAAACUGGGUCUAAUACCGGAUACGACCAUCUGGCGCAUGUCAUGGUGGUGGAAAGCUUUUGUGGUUUUGGAUGGACUCGCGGCCUAUCAGCUUGUUGGUGGGGUAAUGGCCUACCAAGGCGACGACGGGUAGCCGGCCUGAGAGGGUGACCGGCCACACUGGGACUGAGACACGGCCCAGACUCCUACGGGAGGCAGCAGUGGGGAAUAUUGCACAAUGGGCGAAAGCCUGAUGCAGCGACGCCGCGUGAGGGAUGACGGCCUUCGGGUUGUAAACCUCUUUCAGUAGGGAAGAAGCGAAAGUGACGGUACCUGCAGAAGAAGCGCCGGCUAACUACGUGCCAGCAGCCGCGGUAAUACGUAGGGCGCAAGCGUUAUCCGGAAUUAUUGGGCGUAAAGAGCUCGUAGGCGGUUUGUCGCGUCUGCUGUGAAAGACCGGGGCUCAACUCCGGUUCUGCAGUGGGUACGGGCAGACUAGAGUGCAGUAGGGGAGACUGGAAUUCCUGGUGUAGCGGUGAAAUGCGCAGAUAUCAGGAGGAACACCGAUGGCGAAGGCAGGUCUCUGGGCUGUAACUGACGCUGAGGAGCGAAAGCAUGGGGAGCGAACAGGAUUAGAUACCCUGGUAGUCCAUGCCGUAAACGUUGGGCACUAGGUGUGGGGGACAUUCCACGUUUUCCGCGCCGUAGCUAACGCAUUAAGUGCCCCGCCUGGGGAGUACGGCCGCAAGGCUAAAACUCAAAGGAAUUGACGGGGGCCCGCACAAGCGGCGGAGCAUGCGGAUUAAUUCGAUGCAACGCGAAGAACCUUACCAAGGCUUGACAUGAACCGGAAAGACCUGGAAACAGGUGCCCCGCUUGCGGUCGGUUUACAGGUGGUGCAUGGUUGUCGUCAGCUCGUGUCGUGAGAUGUUGGGUUAAGUCCCGCAACGAGCGCAACCCUCGUUCUAUGUUGCCAGCGCGUUAUGGCGGGGACUCAUAGGAGACUGCCGGGGUCAACUCGGAGGAAGGUGGGGACGACGUCAAAUCAUCAUGCCCCUUAUGUCUUGGGCUUCACGCAUGCUACAAUGGCCGGUACAAAGGGUUGCGAUACUGUGAGGUGGAGCUAAUCCCAAAAAGCCGGUCUCAGUUCGGAUUGGGGUCUGCAACUCGACCCCAUGAAGUCGGAGUCGCUAGUAAUCGCAGAUCAGCAACGCUGCGGUGAAUACGUUCCCGGGCCUUGUACACACCGCCCGUCAAGUCACGAAAGUUGGUAAC